rnacentral:misc_RNA from 1 species
CCAAUUUCGGGGGACUUCGGUCCCUGUCUGAAACCCUUGUCUUUUGAGUACCAUUUGUUUCCUUGGUAGGCUUUGCCUACCAUUAGGACACCACUUAACCUCUUGUAAUUGCAAUCAGCGUCAGAAAAACAUAAUAGUUACAACUUUCAACAACGGAUCUCUUGGUUCUGGCAUCGAUGAAGAACGCAGCGAAAUGCGAAAAGUAGUGUGAAUUGCAGAAUUCAGUGAAUCAUCGAAUCUUUGAACGCACAUUGCGCCCCUUGGUAUUCCAUGGGGCAUGCCUGUUCGAGCGUCAUUUGUAUCUUCAAGCUCUGCUUGGUGUUGGGUGUUUGUCCCGCUUUGUGCGUGGACUCGCCUUAAAGCAAUUGGCAGCCGGCGUACUAGUCUGGGAGCGCAGCACAAUUUGCGCCUCUGAACCUGAACGCUUGCGUCCAUGAAGUCUAUACUUUUGCUU